CUUGAGAAAAUGACCACAGCUUUCACUUUACCCCUUCCCUCUCGUUCUUCAACUUAUUCAAUACACACAAAACAGAGAAAUCUCACUCCCUCUCCAUCUUCAUUUUCUUGAAACGCACACUAAACCAUCGAGGAAAAUGGGAAGAAGAAAAGAAUAAUGGUUUUGAGGAAUUUUCUUUGAGGCUUUUCAAUCUCUUUCACUCAUCUUCAUAUUCUUCAAAGGAAAAAUUAAAGAAAAACGCAACAAAAAAACAACAGAAAAAAAAUAUGUUCAUUUUCAUUUUGAAUUUCGGCUUAAAAAUGGAUUUCGGGCACUGCUGUUGAUGCUGAAUUUCUGCUAAGUUUCGGUUGAGUUUGCUCAUGCCUUAAUCGAUUUAUUCCAACUAUUUUCCUUGAGCCAUCCAGGUUAGUUGGAAAUUUCUAUUUAAUAUUUUAGUAAAUGGUUGAACUGAGUUAGUUUGGGUUGAUGUUUAGUUGUUUGUGAUAUUUUAAGGAUUGGAUAUUUCAAUUCUGGAAUGAUUUGAAGUAAAGCUAGGAAAUCUGUUUUGCUCAUUUCUGGAUUUAUUUUGGUUAAUUGUGAUUUAGUGAAAUGGGUAUAUAUAAUGUGGGACGGAAC
rnacentral:lncRNA from 1 species